AUGUCCUCUUCUUCCAUCAGGCUCCGGUAAAAUUUCGAGUCUGUUGGGCUUGGUAAGUGCAUUCUUUCAUCUCCCUGUCCAGAGGAAAAUCAAGGUAAGAAUUUGCAAUCCUAAAAUACACCAUUAUCACAGGUAGUUUCUCUUUAACAAUUUCUUCCUCCAGCAUGAGCCAUAAAUUCAUAAAUGAGGAAUGGCUACACUCUGUAUUCUUGGGAACAACUUAGCAAUAAGCACAUCAGUACAUAAGAGCCCUGCCGGAUUAAAGAUCCAUCUAGUUCCAGCUGGAUGCUAGCAAAGACAGACAACCUUCUUGCAGUGUUGCACCCCAGGCUGCUGAUUGCCAUGAGCCCCUCUUUCCCCUCUUCCCUUUCCAACAAAUCAAAGUGAAAGGACUUCUAAACACAUUCCUUUAUGGAGUUAGGCUGGCUUUGCAAUACAGAGUGAGUAAUAAUGUUUCCUGAGUAAUAAUAAAGUUAAUAACAAAUGGCACCUAUUGAAUGCUUGGACUGGUGGAGUUAACACUUGCCAAUGUCAAGAGUUGAUUCCAAAAUGAAUCCCCACUGUUGGAUCCAUCCUCAGAUUGGUUCACAUGCUUGUGGGCCAGAUAACAGAAAUGCUCGGCAUUGCUUAUUUGAUCCACUCAUGUGGCUUGUGGAUGAACCACUAGUUGAUGAACUCACCUCCCUACCCCUUUGACCCUCCUUGUUCAAGAGCAUCUCCGAUGAAGCUGACUGGGUCUGGCUCUCACUAGCCAAGUGUCUAAUCUUGCACAUUAACUUUGACAUUUCUGUAAUGUAUUUCAAUCUCUCCUCUUCUAGCUCACCUUCCAAGUCUGAGCUUUCUAGCUUGGAGUAGAAGAGGGCACUACUCAGAAGUAGAAAUGUGUGGUAUCUAAGGAAAUAUUCUUAAUAAAACUAUUUUCCCUCCCUUCACAUUCCUAAAAUAAGUUGCCUGAGCAGAAACCCCCAAAUUCAACUGAUAUCAACUUUAAUCAGGGUAAAUGAAUUCUGUUACUUAACUUGAACCCUUCGGAAAAGGGUCAGUGUCUAUAAAAAAGUAGGUGCUGCUUAGCAGUAAGAGAUACUCAUGUAUUAUAUAUUCAUUCCAGACAAGAGAGAAAGAGGAAGAACUCAGAAGAAUUUAAUAGCUUUACCUCAAACACAGCUUUUAUAACACAUUUUUUGUACAAUUUAUUAAACGUUGUAUGGCCAUUGGGAGUGGGAAGAGAUUUGUGGGCCAAAUCUGACUUCUGACCUAGCAAGUGAGUAUUCCUUUAUUUGUAGCUAGACCGAUAUACAGUGUUAUAUAAUAUCUGUUCUUCAAACUGUACAAAAACUAAUCAGUAUUCUAAAACACAGCUUUAUAAAAUGCAGAGUUAAUGCAUCAAAAUCAGGUCACUUGAUUUUAUCAUUGUGUUUAAUGUAAAAUUGUGUUUCAUAUACAUUUGGGGCAUUUAAUUUUCUUUCUUUCAGGUUUAUAUUAUUACAGAUAUCCUCAGGCCAUUUUUCAAUGUCCAGAGCAACAUUAUAUACAUUCAAACAUAAACAAAUAAUUUCAACCUGGUUUCUUCCUAAGUAGCUCUGCCAUUAUUGUUUUCCUGGAAAAAAGGUAACCAUUUUAUUAUGAAUGACCAGUACCUGUAUAACCAAAUAGCGCUGGGGGUCCCGAGCCAUUUUGGAGAAUUCUGACAUCAGUUCCCGAAAUUUGGGACGGCUGUCUGCAUCUAUCAUCCAGCCUGAAGGUGGCAACACAGAAAGCAAAAGUGAAAGGAGAGUUUAAAAUAACCUUGCAAGAGCAGGAAAACAUGCUAGUAAAAUGGUACAUUACAAAAGACCUUCAGAGUCUGGUACCCACUAUUGACCACUAAGCUAUCGCUAGAAGUACCUGCACAGAAAUAAUAGGCAGUUGCACGAGUGCUUAGCAUGUUACAGUUGCUCAUGUGGGAAGUGGAAUACUUUGAUUAUCCUUCUCCAGAUAGGAAAAGUCUGGACUGGUUUGAAGAGAGGUGUUUAUUCUGGUCACUUCCCUUUCCUCUGAGAAACAGGACAGAAAAAGCCCAGGGCCAAUCAAGCUCCUCUGGAGUUUUAUUGGUGGAAAAGCAAUUUGAAAGUUUGAAAGAAACAUCAGAAGGUGUUAAAGCAAAGAUUAACCUGGGAUGAACUCCUUCCCUUAGGCAAGGGGCAAUUUCCAAUGUCACUGUGUGCAGAGCUAUCCCUAUUGGGAGACCUCUAGAAAGUCAUCUUUCCCAUGCAGCUGUUGUUUGUCUGCACCUAUUCAUGGAAGCCAUGCAGAGAUCCAUACAAUAAUUUGUACCAUCAUACCAUAUAUUUCACUUUCUUCACAAUCUUAGAACGGGGCAGUGAGGUAUAUGCUCUACAGAACUGUGGCAGGUAGAGCAUGGCAUUGAAAAUGUAAAUCAAAGCAUUAGGAAUCUUGCUUGUCAAACCUGUAGAAUUUACAAAAACUCCUCCUUGCAAAACCAGAAUAGGAUAGAUGAUCAGACCCAAUAUUUAUCUGCCUGCUUGCCUUCAUAUUUUGGUACAGUAUUGCCAGGGCAAUAAGGGAAGAGUCAUGUGGAAAGGGCUUCGAUGUUGUUCAGGCAACUUAUGAAUCAGGCCUAAGUCAAGUCAAGAGGUGUGCCAUUGUGGUAGGGGGCAGCAAUGAGAUGGGCAUUCAUCUACGUAGAGAAGCAUAAGCUGUUUCUGUCAAAUGAUUUGUAACUGCUAAAAAUUAAUAUGAUUAUUAAUGUCUCACCAUUUAGACGAUAGAACUGCAAGUACAAUUAUUAAGCUCAUCAGGAACUCUCAAAUCCAGUCUGAAGCUUUAGCUUUGAAAUGUACAGGUAGCAAAACAAGCUGAGUGAAAUUCAGAAUUAAGGUAUCAUUUUCACCUGCAAUGCCAGCAGGGCAAGACUUAACACAAUGAGGACCAUCCAUUGCAUGGGCACACUUUGUGCAGUUGUCUGGACCCUGGAUAAGAAAGAGGACACUGUUCUGAUUACAGGAUCCUCCAUGAGUAUCAUGGCCAUCAUCCCUCAUUCCAAGUUUCAUCCUAAAUAUUUCUGAAUAAAAUCACUGAUUUAAAAAAAAAAAAGAUGUGGGAGAUUCAACAUGCAGGUGGAGUUCAAACACCUAGAAGAACUUCCUCGUUCAUUUCAGUGGCGGGUCCAGUCCUGCACAUGCAAAGAAACAGGUACUUAAGUUCCACUAAAAUGGAUAUGGUCAAGAAUGUGUUCAAGAGACCAGCAAAUUUCCCAGAGAAAAGGUAAACUGUGGACUUGGCUGGGAUCCAGGUGGAGUUGCCCCUGGCCAUGCGAGCUUUAGCCAUCCCCCUCCCCCAUGACAGCUUUGUGUAUACUUUCUGUCUGUUGCUCAGAGUAUGUUGAAGCACACCUGAACUGAGACACCUGUAUAUUAAAGCAGUGUUGGGAAUAAAUUUGAAAGAUAAUAUGUACUUACAGGGCCUUUGCAAGUUAAAAUGGAUUGAGUUGAAUUUUGCACCAGGCAUUCUGAAUGGCAGGGGAAACACUCUGAAUGUCUUAGAAACUCCCGAGGCUCCCUGAAAUGGGUAGAAAAAGCUUGUAAAUCAGACAGCAACUUUAAAUGUCCUUAAAUGUCCUCUGUACUGGAAUACAACAACAGAGAUGUUACAACAAAGGGGUACAGGAGGACUAUGAAGUAGCACUAGCAGGGGUAUCACUACAAGACGUGCACUCUGUCACUCUCAAACAUCCCAACAACCAUGAGAGGUACUUUCCUGCGAUGCCAGCCCAAGCAUCCCCAGAGAACCCCAUGAUCUUCAAACCCCAAGAAGGUGAUAGUGGUAAGGUACUGUGUUAAUGAUCUUCACUACUAGGUAGGAAAACCUGACUGUGUUGUGCUAUUAGAAUGAGAGGCUUUGACAUGGCUCGCCCACACAACGUCAGAGUUCCAGUUAGCACAUUAUUGGGCAAGGGCAUCAGGGUUAACAAGACCAAAGCGCCUAUACAUUUGUUAUUUACUGUCAGACGCAAGUUGCAAGUCAAAGAUGCACAUAAAUGCUUUUCUAUAGCUUCAGCUGGCAAUCUAGGAGAAUUGAAUUCACAGGCUUUAUUAAACACAGAACAAGGUUACUUAUAUUUUCAUUUCUACAUUCAGAUUUCAUCCAAUUAGCUAUGCCACAGUCUUAAUAUACAUUUUUUAUUUUUUAAAAAAUAUUUAGCCCUGUGAAUGCUGGUGGCCUUUUUCUAUUCUUGUUAUAGUGAUGUUUUGAUCUUUUAAUUGUUUUAAUAUGCUGUUAGUUAUACAUAUGCUUAAUAUGUUGUUGUAAGCCACCUAGGAAGGCCUUUUGGCAGUUAAAGGCUGCAUAUAAAUAUGUGUAUAAAUAAAUAAACUUGAGACACACAAAAAUGCCUGUAAGAUACUUCCUAUCCAAAGAAAUGGGAAGGUCAGACAAUAAAGAGGGCAAGUAGGACUCAGGGCUGGUUCACACAUGACUCCAACUUUUAGCUCGCAAAACUGAAUGCAACACAUUUGGGAAUCCUAUUUCUGCUGCUUUCCAGGACAGGAAAGGCAGAAAUGGGGAAUGUGAGGUACCUGAAAUUUUGUAAUGACUAGUUAGUUGUGCUGAGGUUGGUGGGCCACUGGAAGCUGUUUUAUCCCAGUCAGGUUAUUGGCUUAUCAAGCCCCACACUGUCUAUUGUGACUGGCAGAUGCUUUUCAGGGUUGUAGGUAAGUGGCUUCCCAUAUCACCUGCUACAUGAUUCUUUUUUAAAAUCGAGAUCCUACUGAUUGAAUCUGGAUCUACCCCUACUAUAAAACUCCUUAGGGUACAUCUGUUAAAGAUCUAUGCAAAUAGGUCUUGCUCAAUAUGCAUGAGUCUUCUGAGCAUAAAAAUGAAUGUGUAGGUGGUUUGAUUCAUAUUAAGAAAUGCUACAUAUGGCGGGCCCAUGAGUUCAAGUAUCUUCCCUCGUGUCUUGUUACAUUUGAAUUCUGUCUGGUGGGGCCACAUGCAAUCCCACCUUUUAGAGGGCAUUGUUGGAACAAGGCAAUCAAAUUACAGUUUUUUAAAAAGGUUAAGGUGAAAUCAACUGUUAAUUAAAAACAUUCUUUCUCUGAAAAAUAUAGCAUAUUAUUAAAAUGUGAAAAUUGGGAGCAGAUGGCUCAGCUAUAACAUAACAAGUAAUUUAUCACUAAUUAAACUAUCUGCUCAUAAUUUAAUUUGAAGAGUUCAAAUUUGCCAUGUACGUCAAAACAUUACCUGAAGGAAUUUUACUUAAAAAGGUAAAAUCUGCAGAUGGAUAAAGUCUUUGUACUGUAUAUUCUUUCUUUCUUUUUAGACUAGCCACACAACUUUUGAAAGUCAUAGCAGAGGAGAAAGCAAGGAAAAUGUUUUCUGGGAUAAGUAUGCGGAGGAGUCAGCAUUAAAGACCUGACAUUAGAGAAGCGCAAGUUCUUCUUCUGUCAGGAUCAUACUCAAUUGUCCAGAUUCAAAGAACUGGACAACUAGUUCAGGGUUCUUCGGCUCUGUUUCUUGCUAGUUGUUUUAGAAACCAAGUGGACUUUUGAUAUGUCUUGCACUGUCCUAUCCAUGACAAUGCAUGUACAAGACAUUAAAUGUAUGUCUUAAAAUUAAAAACACACAGUACAAAUAUUAAAGCAACAACAGCAAAAAAUAAAGAGAGCACAGAAUAAAGCCAUGCUAAAACCAGAAGCAAAGAAUAAAAGCAUACGAGCCACCAUAAAAUCCAAUGAAAACUACCACCAGUAGAACAGAGUACAAAAAAAAAUUCUUCAAAUGCUUAGAAGCAGGGCUUUUUUUGUCAUAGAACGCACCGGAACAGCGUUCUGGCACCUUUUUUCCAAUGGAUUUUACGAAGUGAU